AGUUAAAAAGCUCGUAGUUGGAUUUCUGCGGGGACGGAGCGGCCGGACGCAACUUGCGUCUCGAGCUAGCGCUUUCCCCGCAUCCUGCCGCGAACCGUGCUACCAUUAGUUUGGUGGCGCUGGGGAUCGGCUCGAUUACUUUGAGAAAAAUAGAGUGUUCAAAGCAGGCCACACGCCUUGAAUAAGUUAGCAUGGAAUAAUGACUAAGGACUUUGGUUCUUUUCGUUGGUGUUCGGGACUGAAGUAAUGAUUGAUAGGGACAGUUGGGGCGGUCUGUAUUCCAAAGCGAGAGGUGAAAUUCUUAGACCUUCGGAAGACAAACAGCUGCGAAAGCGUUCCGCAAGGAUGUUCCCUUUGAUCAAGAACGAAAGUUGGGGGAUCGAAGACGAUCAGAUACCGUCGUAGUCUCAACUAUAAACUAUACCAGCUAGGGAUCGGCCAACGUUUAAUUAUUCGACUUGGUCGGCACCUUAUGAGAAAUCAAAGCAUCUGGGUUCCGGGGGGAGUAUGGUCGCAAGGCUGAAACUUAAAGGAAUUGACGGAAGGGCACCACCAGGCGUGGAGCCUGUGGCUUAAUUUGACUCAACACGGGAAAACUUACCAGGUCCAGACAUAGGAAGGAUUGACAGAUUGAUAGCUCUUUCUUGAUUCUGUGGGUGGUGGUGCAUGGCCGUUUUUAGUCGGUGAAGUGAUUUGUCUGCUUAAUUGCGUUAACGGACGAGACCCCAGCCUGCUAAAUAGCGCGGCCGAGCUUUGCUCGGUGCGAGCUUCUUAGAGGGACCAUGAUGCGCGAUAGCACAAGGAAGUUUGGGGCAACAACAGGUCUGUGAUGCCCUUAGAUGUUCUGGGCCGCACACGGGCUACACUGGGGCCUGCAACGAGCAUAUCA
rnacentral:rRNA from 1 species